rfam:Mesitornis unicolor contig102882, whole genome shotgun sequence.
UUAGGUUACGGGGAUAUGUACCCCAUGACCUGGUCCGGGAUGCUCGUAGGGGCUUUAUGUGCCCUUGCCGGCGUCCUCACCAUCGCCAUGCCCGUCCCCGUCAUCGUCAACAAC